GGCGGGAAAGCGGUAGGGGGGCCCGCGGGGGGCGACGGGGAGGGGGGCCCGCGGGGGCGCGUCGUCGUUCGAAUAGUGAGAGUCCCCGGGUCGGUCGUCGCGGAUGGGCACGUCGUCCUCGCGCCCGCGCUACGCGACGCUCUCGGCGCGACGCAGGGCACCCGCGUGACGUUGACGUUGACGUCCAUCGCGGGUCCCUCCACGGGCGAAGCGAACGGCGGCACGGCUGUGCUCCUUCGUCUCAGGCCCGUGAUCCGCGAGGGCGGUGACGGGUCAGAGCCGGAGCGCGGGACGGAAUCAAAGCUCGGGGAUCUCACGGCGGCGCAUCUCGCCGCGCUCGGGCUGCCCCGCGAUCAUGUUAACGUCGACGAGGACGCCGUCACCGACGCCGCGAGGGACCUGCUCGCGCGCUGGUCCGCCACGGUGGCGCGUUUCUCGAUGACGUUUAGAAACGCAUUCAGAGACGACGGCGACGAAAAGGACCCGAACGACUUGAACGACUUUGGCGCCCCUCCGCCGGUCGCCACCGGAUCUGUGGUUCAGCUCAGGGUGGGCGAUGACUCCCUCAUCGCGACGUUCGAGCUGGAGGUGCACGCGCCGGGGGGCGCGUGCGAACUCACCUCCGACGUCCUCCGGUGCGGCGGGAGCGACGGAGCGGGGGAAUCAUCGUCGACGCCGGCGGCGCGAGUCGAGCUCGGCGGGUGCGUCCGGCGGGCCGCUCACGACCCUUCCCCCGUGUCCAAGCUCUUCGGAACGUCCGUCACCGUGGACGCGACGCUUCGGGACGCGCUCGGCACGGUCGCGCCCGUCGGGUCAGCGGCGAAUGAGGCGGCGAAUGAUGCGACGGCGCAACUCGCGGCGGCGCUGACGACGGUCCCUGGGGGUAAUAUUCCGGGCGGCGUCCUCCUCUGGGGCGCACCGGGAAGCGGGCGCAGCGGCGUCGCGAGGUGCAUCGCCAGGACCCUCCGCGACGACAAGCGCACGCUCGCGUCGGUCGUCUACGUCUCGUGCGGGUCGAUGUCCCACUCCGCAUCCGGCGACCCGAGGGCGGCUAUUUCCGCGGUGAAGGCGGCGGCGUCGGCGGCGGCCCGACGCGCGCCCGCCGUCGUGAUACUCGACGACCUGGACGCCAUCGCGGGCGGCGGCGGCGGCGGCGGCGCGGGGGGGGGCGGGGCGGACGCGCCCGGCGGCGGACCCGGCGAGAUCGUCGGGGAGGUCAUCGCCGACGUCGCCGACUUUCUUCGCGGCCGCCGGGUCGCGUUGUUGGCCACGGCGACGUCGCCCGAGUCUCUCCACGACGCCGUCCGCGCGGCCGGGCGGCUGGACCACGCGUGUGAGCUGCGUAUGCCGGACGCCGCGGACGCGCGCGGCGCCGUCGUUAAAACGAUCGCGGACGCGCGCGGGACGCCCGUGUCGAGCGCCGACGUCGCCGCCGCCGCGGCUCGAAAAGCCGAGGGGUACGCGCGCGGCGACCUGACCGCGCUCGUGGAGCGCGCGGCGCACGCGGCAGCCGCGAGAUCGAUGCGCCGACCGAUGCACACGCCAUCGCUAGCGGCGGUCAAGGUUCAACACCCCGGGUCUGGGUUCGACACGGGCGUUACAGGCGUUACAGAACGCGACGCCACGCUCGGGGCGCUCGAUUUCGACGACGCUCGCGUGGGCCUCGUGCCCGCUCCGGCGAGGGCUCUGGGCGGUUCCUUGGGCGUGGGCGGUGACCACUCACCGGGCGGUGACUCACCGGGCGAUGAUCCGCUCGAUGCCGUCGGCGGGCUCGACGACGUCAAGGCGGCGCUCGACGAGGCGCUGUCGCUCCCGUCCCGCCACCCCGCCGUCUUCGCCGACGCGCCCCUGCGGCUUCGCACGGGCGCGUUACUCUACGGACCGCCGGGGUGCGGCAAGACGAUGGUGAUCAGGGCGGCGAUCAAGGCGGCGGGGGUUCGAUCCGUCGCGAUAAAGGGCCCCGAGCUGCUCAACAAGUACAUCGGGCAGUCCGAGGCUGGGGUCCGCGACGCCUUCAGGCGCGCCGCCGCCGCCGCGCCGUGCGCGCUCUUCUUUGACGAGUUUGACUCGAUUGCGCCCAGGCGCGGGCACGACUCCACCGGCGUGACGGAUCGCGUCGUCAACCAGUUUCUCACCGAGCUGGACGGCGUGGAGGGCUUACGCGGGGUGGUGGUGCUCGCGGCGACGUCCAGGCCGGACCUCGUGGACCCCGCGCUGCUGCGACCCGGCCGGUUGGACAGGCUGCUGCGUUGCGACUUUCCCGACGUCGCCGCGAGGUUGGAGAUUUUGGAGAAGGCGGCGAGAGACGUCGGGUUGGUGGACGAUCAGAGGGCGCUCAACGAGGACGUCCUGGGGCUGCACGCGGUGGCGAACGACACGGAGGGUUUCAGCGGCGCGGACCUCCGCGCGAUCGUGACGGACGCUCGCAUGCACGCG
rnacentral:lncRNA from 1 species